rnacentral:lncRNA from 1 species
GUCAUAGCGACUUUUGGGAUAGUUUGCUAUCGACAAAGGGAGACAAAGUCAAGGGGUGAAGGGAAAGGAGGGCCAAGUAGAGCCUCCACGACCCUCGGCUUCCUCCUCACCAGCUCCCCCUCCCUCCAAGUCCAGUAAGAAGUUGGGCCAAGCUGGAAGGGAUUGACCGGCCGUUUCCUCUCCCUCGCCGGCCUCGGCGGAGAUUCCAGGCCCUAUAGAAACCAGGACGUCCCUUAGCGCCACCGCCUCACAUGCCAGUGCUGCCGGGAACCCAGCGAUAUCCGCACCAGCGGAGAAGGUUCCAGGCUGCCGGCGGCGGCGCAGAGAGCGGGAAGAGAGGCUCGGAGGAAGCCCCGGGCGUGGCGUGGUCAGGCUCCGAGAGCGGCCGGGAUGCGGCCACACCGGCCUGGUAAACUCGCACCUCUUAGGAUCUUGCUCCCGGACUCAUUCCCUUCCCCACCCCCUAUUUUAAAGUUUUAUUUGGGUCGUCUGUAUCAAUUUAGAACGAGAUAAAUUAAGACAAAGAAAGUAAAAUAAAUCGAAAUAAAAUAUAGGAAUAGCUCUUGGCGAAAAAAAAAAAAAAAAAAAAAAAAAAAAAAAAAAAAAAAAAA